rnacentral:lncRNA from 1 species
ACCUUUCACCUCACGAUUUCCUCCCCACCACAAAAUGUGCCUCCGACCCAAAAUCUGCGCUUUUCACCUCAAAAUCUGCACUUUUCACCUCAAAAUCUGCAUUUUAAUCUCAAAAUCUGCAUUUUUGCAUCAAAAUCUCUGAUUUUACGUCACAAAAUCUCAAUUUUUACCUCAAAAUCUCCACUUUUUACCUCACGAUUUCCUCCCCACCACAAAACCUGCCUCCGACCCAAAAUCUGCGCUUUUCACCCCAAAAUCUGCAUUUUUACCUCAAAAUCUGCUUUUUCCCCCUCAAAAGCUUCACUUUUUACCUCACGAUUUGCUCCCGGCUGCCAAAAUCCGCAAAUUUUACCUCAAAAUCUCCGGUUUUCCCUCAAGACCUUCACCUUUCACCUCACGAUUUCCUCCCCACCACAAAAUGUGCCUCCGACCCAAAAUCUGCGCUUUUCACCUCAAAAUCUGCACUUUUCACCUCAAAAUCUGCAUUUUUACCUCAAAAUCUCUGAUUCUACGUCACAAAAUCUCAUUUUUUCUCUCCAAAUCUCCACUUUUUACCUCACGAUUUCCUCCCCACCACAAAAUCCGCCUCCGACCCAAAAUCUGCGCUUUUCACCCCAAAACUCGCACUUUUCCGCUCACAACUUGAACAUUUCACUUCAGGAUUUCCUUCCCACCCCCCCAAAUCCGCCUUUUUCACCCCAAAAUCCGCAUUUUUACCUCAAAGCCUUCACUCUUCCCCUCCAAUCCCGCCCGUUUUCCCCUCACGACUUCCUCCAACCCCCAAAACGUUCCCUCAACCCCCCCAAAUUCUCCUUUUUUUUCCCUCAAAUUUCACCCUUUCACCCCAAAUUCUGCCUUUUUCACCCCAAAUUCAGCCCCUUUUCCCUCACACUUCGCUGCCUGACCCCAAAAUCUUCUUUUUUUGCCCCAAAAUUCCGCCCCCUCCCCAGUCCCGACCUGGGCUCCGCUGCAGAGCUCGCGGGGUGUGGGCGGGGCUUGUGGCAGUGACGUCACCGCGCGCCCGCCCCGAGUGGGCGGAGCCUUAAAAGGGCAACGCCGCGAGCUGAGUCACGGUGGGGCCCACCCGAGCUCUGGGGGGAUUUUGGGGUUCCCGAGGGGAUUUUGGGGUGUCCCGAGAAAGUUUUGGGGCGAUCCUGGGAGUUUUGGGGUGCGGCGGGUGUCCCACGGGUUUCGGGGUCCAGAGAGGGGAGAUUUUGGGGUUUCCGGGGCGAGAUUUUGGGGGUUCAAGGUCAAUUUUCGGGCAUUCGUUUUGGGGCUCCGCGUAAUUUUUGGGGUUCAGGGUCAGUUUUGGGGUGCCCGAGAUCAAAUCUGGGG